CCGGCCUGGGAAACCGUGGGGUUUCUGGGGCGACGCCUUGGCGGGCAGUCACUGCCAGCGCAAGAAGCCUCCUGGCCGGCUGCUUCCAUCACCGGCGUCACCAUGGGGGCUGUACUGGGCGUCUUCUCUCUUGCCAGCUGGGUUCCAUGCCUUUGUAGUGGUGCAUCCUGCUUGCUGUGCAGUUGCUGUCCCAACAGUAAGAAUUCCGUUGUGACUCGAUUGAUCUAUGCUUUUAUUCUCCUCCUGGGCACUGUUGUAUCCGUUAUCAUGCGGACAGAAAGGAUAGAGAAUGAACUGAAGAAGAUUCCUGGAUUCUGUGAAGGGGAAUUUCAAGUCAAGGUAGCAGAUAUAAAGGCGGGUAAAGACUGCGAUGUGCUGGUUGGUUAUAAAGCUGUCUAUCGGAUCAGCUUUGCCUUGGCUAUCUUUUUCUUUGUCUUCUCUUUGCUCAUGUUAAAAAUCAAAACAAGUAAAGAUCCCAGAGCAGCAAUACACAAUGGGUUUUGGUUCUUCAAAAUUGCUGCCAUUGUUGGCAUAAUGGUUGGAUCUUUCUACAUCCCAGGGGGCCCCUUCACCUCAGUCUGGUUUGGUGUUGGCAUGACAGGGGCCGCUUUGUUCAUCCUCAUUCAGCUGGUGCUGUUAGUAGACUUUGCUCAUUCUUGGAAUGAAUUAUGGGUAAAUCACAUGGAAGAAGGAAACCCAAGGGUCUGGUAUGCUGCUUUACUCUCUGUUACAAGCUUCUUUUAUGCCGUCGCAAUCAUUGCCGUGGGACUGCUGUACAAAUUCUACACCAAACCAGAUAGCUGCACAGAAAACAAGUUCUUCAUCAGUAUUAACUUGAUUCUUUGCCUUGUGGUUUCUAUCAUAUCUAUCCACCCAAAAAUUCAGGAACACCAGCCUCGGUCUGGCCUCCUGCAAUCCUCUGUCAUCACUCUCUACACCAUCUACCUCACGUGGUCAGCCAUGACCAACGAACCUGAUCGUUCCUGCAACCCCAACUUGAUGGGCAUCAUUACACACAUAACUGCACCAACCCUGAUUCCAGCAAAUUCAACUGCUGUAGUCCCCACCUCUGCUCCACCAUCAGUGAAUGGGCACUUUAUGGAUGCAGAGAGUUUUUUGGGACUUUUGGUCUUUUUUAUCUGCCUUAUGUAUUCUAGCUUCCGCAACUCCAGCAACAGCCAAGUGAACAAGCUGACCCUCUCAGGGAGCGACAGUGUGAUCCUGGGUGAUACUGCCAAUGGAGCCAGUGAUGAAGAAGAUGGACAGCCUCGGCGGGUGGUGGACAAUGAAAAAGAGGGAGUGCAGUACAGCUACUCCUUUUUCCACCUAAUGCUCUGCUUUGCUUCCUUGUACAUCAUGAUGACCAUGACCAACUGGUACAGCCCUGAUGCCAACUUCCAGACCAUGACCAGCAAGUGGCCAGCUGUGUGGGUCAAGAUGGGUUCCAGUUGGGCAUGCCUCCUGCUUUAUGUCUGGACCCUUGUGGCUCCUCUCAUCCUCACGGGUCGGGACUUCAGCUGAACUCCCAAGUAUCAAGGACACUGCUGAAGAUCAGAAAGAGUAUUAUCUCUCCCUAAGAAGUUGCUUGUGCCUGCCCAGACUGCUUAUCGAAUGAAUUGCACAGAAAAAGCACACACAUAAAAAGAAAAAAAUGACAAUAUUUUGGACUGUUAAUCAAUAUUCUCAAGAAAAUCUCAUCAAGAUCUGGGUACUCCUUUCUUAGAAAGACAAAACUUCAAUUCCUAUGAAAAAAAAAUUGUCCAAAAGCUGUACCAGCUUGCAGUUUACUGUUCACGCUGAUUAAACCUACCCCUACAUAACCAGAUGUCACCUUUUCAAUCACAUACAUCUCAAAAGGGCUUAUAAAAAGGCAAAGACAAAAUCCAAUUGAGAACAAAACUUUGUGUGCCUGCCUUCUCCUAAAAAGCUGGAGGGGCAGGGGGGCUUCCACAUCUGCUCCAGACACAUGAGACAAAAAUUCACUUCCCAAGCUAAGAGCCGAAACCACACAGCAACAAGGUGCAGGCAGUAUGGUAAUAUCUGACUGUUUUGUAAAAGUCUUAUCAGUUGAGCACAGGGAGGGCAGAGAAGCCUGUCGGCUGGUUUCCAGGUCUCUUAGUGCCCUGAAAUCUAACUGCAUGCUUAUUUUAAAAUAAACAACUAAUUCUGGAAAGUACGUAGAACAGCAGGUAAAGUUGCUAACAUUGUGCCUAGUACAUGGUAAAGGCUGAAAAGAAUGAUCUAGACUACAAAGAGAGUUUGGUGAAUGACUAAGGAGACAGUGCUGUGGGGCUUACAGGCAGAAGGAGGUGUCAACUUACAUGGAGGUGUCCCUUCAAGAAGCAUGAGGGCUGCCAGCAUGCUCUCAUUUCCUGGCUUGCUUGGGAAGAACAAUGAAAUCUUACUUGCCAUUUUUCUGAGCUCUGGUCUGAUGGAAAUAUGGAGCCUGUGGGUGGAGUGGGGACUGCUCCUCCCUUUAUAGUGCAUUGUUCUCAUGGACCAGAAUAGGAUUACGAAUCAGAGACUGGAGCUCUAGCACCCCCCAGUCACUGGUCACCUUUCCAAAUGCUCCUGUGGGAAGGCUGGGGGGAGCCUCCCCUGCUGGAAACUUCUGUGCCAAAGAAAUGAGAAGAAUUGGGGAGGAGGUGUGUCUCAAGCAGUAUAGCACCUGUUUUGCAAGUCAAAGCCCUGACCCCAGUCCCACACCCCCCCAAAAAAAAAGAAAAAGAAGGAAGGAAAGGGAAGGAUGGAAGGAAGGAAGGAAGGAAGGAAGGAAGGAAGGAAGGAAGGAAGGAAGGAAAGGGAAGGACGGAAGGAAGGAAGGAAGGAAGGAAGGAAGGAAGGAAGGAAAAGACGUGAGAAGAAUCGACAUGGUAGAAAAUUUUUUUGGUAUUAUCGCUAUCCUAAUUCCUAAAUUGCUACCUACUUGCUAUUGUUUGAAUAGUAACAUUAAUAUAGUGGUGUAAACAAAUGUGAUAAUGUUUAUUUACUUUGGCUUUACUCAUACUUUCUGAAUAACAUUAAAGAAAAUGAACUUAGAAAACACAAAAAGAAAUGUAAGAUACCCUGAUUACUACUUUGAAGUGCUAAGAUCAACAGGUGAAUCUAGGGCUGGGUUGAGGCUCAAGUGGUAGAGCACUUGUCUAGCAUGUGAUGGCCUGGGUUUGAGCACUAGCACUAGGAAAAUAAAUACAUAAAUAAACAAAUAAAGCAAAUCCUAUAUGAAAAUAAUGAUACCUAUUAAAAAUUGCAAAAUAAAGGGGAGGGAUGAUACGGAGUCAUAAAGGGAGUGAAAAUAUGAUCAAAGUAUUUUCUAUGCAUAUAUAGGAAUAUCACAAUGAAACCCUUUUGGUACAAUUAACAUAUGCUAACAAAAAUGUUAAUAAAAAUAAUAACAAAAAUGAAAACAUAGACAGAUAGAUAGAUAGAUAAGUGAAUUCUGUCAGGACUUAACAAAGCAGGGAAAAGGGCAGGGUGGAGGAGGCACAGAGUGGCACCUGUGUAGUCAUUUGCCCAGCCCACACCCUCUCAAUGACACCUGUACUUAUUAGCUCACUCAGAGGAAAGGGGGUCUUGCCAGCUAAGCCUGUAUCCUAUGAUCAAGGGCAGAUUCCUCAGCCCACCAGAUUCUCUCCCCUGGGAAUCUAGAAUUUGCACUGAGGACAGUUAACUGGGCGACCAGGUAAGCCUGAGAGCCGAGAGGUAUCAGAUUUAGCUUUGCCAGUUUACAGGAAAAAAAGAUGUGAAGAAGGUAUGAAGGACAACAGAAAUGUGUGAUCCAGAGGACACAGACUAGUAGAGACAGGGAAGGGCCAGCUCAGCUCCCAGUAGCGCUCUGCUCCUAGUUCUAGGGCCUGGGAAGAGCUGCACCUUCAGCUAGCCGGGCUGGGAGGUGCUCCUGCCUCCUUACACCAAGUCCUCCCUUUACUUAUAAGUUAGUAUGAGUAGGGUUUUGUCUUCUGCAGGCAAAAGAACCUUGACUAAGACAAGGAGGGGAAAGGGCCUGGGAGAAGGCAGACUGUAGGCCAGGCACAGAGGGGCGUACCUGGGCGGAUGCAGAGGACAUGGCAGCCCCUGGGGUCUGUGUGGGGCAGCACAGUGAGGAAUCCGGAAUUGAGGACGUCUUUCAGGGCUGAUGGCCUCAGG